rnacentral:rRNA from 1 species
GAUGAACGCCGGCGGCGUGCCUAAUACAUGCAAGUCGAGCGAAUGGAUUAAGAGCUUGCUCUUAUGAAGUUAGCGGCGGACGGGUGAGUAACACGUGGGUAACCUGCCCAUAAGACUGGGAUAACUCCGGGAAACCGGGGCUAAUACCGGAUAACAUUUUGAACCGCAUGGUUCGAAAUUGGAAGGCGGCUUCGGCUGUCACUUAUGGAUGGACCCGCGUCGCAUUAGCUAGUUGGUGAGGUAACGGCUCACCAAGGCAACGAUGCGUAGCCGACCUGAGAGGGUGAUCGGCCACACUGGGACUGAGACACGGCCCAGACUCCUACGGGAGGCAGCAGUAGGGAAUCUUCCGCAAUGGACGAAAGUCUGACGGAGCAACGCCGCGUGAGUGAUGAAGGCUUUCGGGUCGUAAAACUCUGUUGUUAGGGAAGAACGAGUGCUAGUUGAAUAAGCUGGCACCUUGACGGUACCUAACCAGAAAGCCACGGCUAACUACGUGCCAGCCGCCGCGGUAA